CCGCGGCUUGGUGGCUGGCUGGCCUCGACUGUCACUCCGGAGCGUUUUCUCCCGGCCGGCGCUCAGCUGGGGCGGAGGAAGAGGCCGCCUGGGCCUGCCGAGCUGUUGCAGUCUUCGCGGCUGCUAUGUCCAGGGUGCACGGUGCCCUCCGCAGCUCCGCGCAGCGCUAGAGGCGGCCGAGCGCCCGCCGACGCCGCCCAGAUCCCCGGUGCCACCGCUCCUCCGCUCCUCCACUCCCGCAGCUCCCGCUGCUCCUCCGGCGUCGCCUGCGAGGCCAGGCGGAGGAAAGAUGAAGAUGACGGUGGAUUUCGAGGAGUGCCUGAAGGACUCGCCCCGCUUCAGGGCUGCUUUGGAAGAAGUAGAGGGAGAUGUGGCGGAGCUGGAACUAAAACUCGAUAAGCUUGUGAAGCUCUGUAUCGCGAUGAUUGACACUGGCAAAGCCUUCUGUGUUGCAAAUAAACAGUUCAUGAAUGGGAUUCGAGACCUAGCACAGUAUUCUAGCAAUGACGCUGUCGUUGAGACAAGUUUGACCAAGUUUUCUGACAGUCUUCAAGAAAUGAUAAAUUUUCACACAAUCCUGUUUGAUCAAACUCAGAGAUCAAUUAAGGCACAGCUUCAGAACUUCGUUAAAGAAGAUCUUAGAAAAUUCAAAGAUGCCAAGAAACAAUUCGAAAAAGUCAGCGAAGAAAAGGAAAAUGCACUAGUGAAAAAUGCCCAAGUUCAGAGAAACAAGCAGCACGAAGUGGAAGAGGCCACAAACAUCCUCACCGCCACGAGGAAGUGCUUCCGGCACAUAGCCCUCGACUAUGUCCUUCAGAUUAAUGUGCUUCAAUCAAAGAGGAGAUCAGAAAUCCUGAAAUCAAUGCUGUCCUUCAUGUAUGCACACCUGGCCUUCUUCCACCAAGGCUAUGACCUGUUCAGUGAGCUCGGGCCCUACAUGAAAGAUCUUGGAGCGCAGUUGGAUCGACUGGUUGUGGAUGCCGCAAAGGAGAAAAGAGAGAUGGAGCAAAAACAUUCUACUAUCCAGCAGAAGGCUGCAUUACAGGACUUCUCCAGUGAUGACUCCAAGCUGGAGUAUAAUGUCGAUGCUGCGAAUGGCAUUGUCAUGGAAGGGUAUCUCUUCAAGCGAGCCAGCAACGCCUUCAAAACGUGGAACAGGAAAAAACCCGAUCAUAUCAGACGCUGGUUCUCCAUACAGAACAAUCAGUUGGUUUACCAGAAAAAGUUCAAGGACAGCCCCACGGUGGUGGUGGAGGACCUCAGGCUGUGCACGGUGAAGCACUGCGAAGACAUAGAGCGGCGGUUCUGCUUCGAGGUGGUCUCUCCAACAAAAAGUUGUAUGCUCCAGGCAGAUUCUGAAAAGCUUCGCCAGGCCUGGAUUAAGGCUGUUCAGACCAGCAUUGCCACUGCGUACAGAGAGAAGGGCGAUGAAUCAGAGAAGCUGGAUAAGAAAUCAUCUCCAUCAACGGGAAGCCUAGAUUCUGGAAAUGAGUCAAAAGAGAAAUUAUUGAAAGGAGAGAGCGCCCUGCAGCGUGUGCAGUGCAUCCCUGGCAACACCAGCUGUUGUGACUGUGGGCUGGCAGACCCACGGUGGGCCAGCAUCAACUUGGGCAUUACCUUGUGCAUCGAGUGCUCUGGGAUUCAUCGGAGUCUUGGGGUUCAUUUUUCGAAAGUACGGUCUUUAACUUUAGACACUUGGGAGCCUGAGCUUUUAAAGCUUAUGUGUGAGUUGGGGAACGAUGUUAUAAAUCGUGUUUAUGAAGCCAAGCUGGAAAAGAUGGGAAUAAAGAAACCACAGCCGGGACAGAGACAGGAGAAAGAGGCAUAUAUCAGAGCAAAAUAUGUGGAGAGGAAAUUUGUGGAUAAAUACUCCAUGAUAUCAUCGCCUUCUGAGCAGGAGAAAAGGGUUAUUUCCAAAAGCUGCGAGGAACAGAGGCUGAGCCAAGUCAGGGCGUCUGUCCACACCGCAGUGGCUGCUGUAAAUAGCGACGAGGCCAGGCGGGAGUCUCUGUUCUGUCCUGAUGAGCUAGACUCACUCUUCUCCUACUUUGAUACUUCUUCAAAACUGCGUAGUAUCAAAAGUAAUGACAGUGGGAUCCAGCAAGGCUCGGAUGAUGGACGAGAAUCUUUACCUUCCACCGUGUCAGCCAACAGCCUAUGUGAGCCUGAAGGAGAAAGACCAGAGUCUUCUGUGUUUCUUGACUCUAAACAUCUUAAUCCAGGACUUCAGCUUUAUAGGGCUUCAUAUGAGAAGAACCUUCCCAAAAUGGCUGAGGCUUUGGCUCAUGGUGCAGAUGUGAACUGGGCUAAUUCAGAUGAGAACCAAGCAACGGCACUCAUCCAGGCUGUACUAGGGGGCUCUUUGGUGACAUGUGAGUUCCUCUUACAGAAUGGUGCUAAUGUAAACCAAAGAGACGUCCAAGGGCGGGGACCACUGCACCACGCCACUGUCUUAGGACACACAGGGCAGGUGUGUUUAUUCCUAAAGCGAGGUGCCAAUCAACAUGCCACUGAUGAAGAGGGGAAGGACCCUUUGAGCAUAGCUGUGGAAGCAGCCAAUGCUGACAUAGUAACCUUGUUACGUUUAGCAAGAAUGAAUGAAGAAAUGCGGGAAUCGGAAGGACUUUAUGGACAACCAGGUCAAUAUUCUACUAAUAAUCAUACAGAAAUGCAGUAUAAAAAAUGCAUUCAGGAAUUUAUCAGUUUACAACUGGAAGAUUCAUAGCUCCUUAGCUAACUAAUGUGUUGUUAUAGAGAUUUUAUAAUGUACCUGUAAAUUGUGAGUUGUUAGCAGCUGGACCUAUCGAAUUCUCGGGUGGCUAAUCCCGGACCUUUACACACUCGGACGUGUUUCUGUUUCAGUACACUUGACUUACUGUUUUCAGUCAGCUCUGGCCGCUGGCAUCCUUAUCUGCUGUACAGAUGUCUUCCACAUGCGCUCCAGCAACACGCUUGACAACGGACUGUGUGCUGCGGAGGCGGCAGGAGAGCAGUUUCAGAAGGAAUUCUUUCUCCAUUCCCUUUUCUCUUCCUUUCUUCCCCUCCUUCCCCCUCCCUCCAUCCCUCCCCCUUUCUCUUUCUCUUUCUUUCUUUUUUUUUUUUUUUUUAACAGGAUUUCUCUGUAUAGCCCUGGCUGUUCUGGAACUCGCUUUGUAGACCAGGCUGGCCUCAAACUCAGAGAUCGAUCCACCUGUCUCUGCCUCCCGAGUGCUAGGAUUAAAGGCGUGUGCCACCACCGCCCAGCUUCAGAAAGAGUUCUUGUUAGCUGUCCAGCGAGUAUAACAAAAUGGGGUUCUUUUUGUUAUUCAGGGAAUUUCUAUACAUUGUGUUCAGGGAAAAUAAAACAAAUUUAUGUGUUUUGUAUAUAAAAAAGUUAGUGUGGAAAAUACCAAGGAGAAGUUUAUUGAUGAGUUUUAUAUUCUAAUCUAAGAAUGAGUUGAAGAUUUAAAGUAAACCUUUACCAGUAAGUUAAAGUCCACAGUGGGUAGAGAAUUAGUUUCGAGGCUGAAAAAGUUUAUCUAUCUGUAGCUUUGCCCCAGGCAGUUUGUACACUGCGGUGAGUAGAUGUAUUUAGAGCAAUGUUUUGUGAACCUGAUGGCUAGGUAGACUUUCUAGAAAAAUCUCAGUUCAUGACCACUGCAUUCUGCAUCUCGAGUGGUUUCCACUUGAGUCACGGUGUGAAAGAAAGAAAGAAAAGCUGAUCAGAUUCCCCUGUUUGACGGAAACGUGCUAGUUAGCGUCACAAGAAGGACAUUGCAUUCUACUUGAUGAAUUUGAGCACAUGAAUUCUUAUCUGUUUUAAAUGCAUACACAUAUUCCUAAACAUUUCAGGAAUUCAUGACCAAAGUACUUACAGACAUUCACUUUUCAGUGAGAAUAUUUCAUUUUAUAAAAAUGAAUAUUUAUAUUAUCUUUAAAGUGGCCUGGUAAAAUCCUCUCUCCUUCCUGUUGAACUAUAUUUUGAAUUUAUGUUAAUGUCAGCCACUUACUUCAUUUUGACUGCAGUAAUCUCUAUCAGUGUGAGGCCAUUUUUUUCUCAGAGGACUGUAUUUACCACUUAUGUUUGGCCUGACAUAAUAGGGAAGGAAAAAGGCCCCGGGUCCGAUGCAGACUUCGAGUCUAGGGCGGUUCACUCUAAUCCUGUGGAUCACUGCUGAGUCCGUCCGGAUGUUCUGAGAUGUCAGUGUACUUCUUAUGGGGGUGACUCAGCGCUAACUCUGGGUCUUGCCCAUGUGUUUCAAAGUUGAAUGUUAGAUCUUGAAUAAGUUCUAAUUUUGUAACAGAUAUCUUUAAAUGAUAGUAUUACUAGGCCUUUUCUGAGGCCUUUGUGGUUAAGCACUUUAAAUAAAAAUCCAUCAAAGAAAAUGAGCUGGCAUUUGUGAGGUAGCAGGGAACUAACUACAAGAUUAUAAGCGAUGGGACAUUUGUAGCCGUGGAGCCAGCUGCACCUUUCUUAAGGUGCUUGCUACAAUGGCCGCCCAGCUGGUGAGCCAAAGGUCAGAGGUCAGCUAUCCAUUUGCUCUGCAGAUGGGAAUUUGCAAGGGCAGGACCUUUCCAUUUUGCUCCUCAUCUAGUUCUGCCCAAGUUGGCUGAAUUUCUUCUGUGUCAUCCAGGAGCGCUCGGAUGCCUCUUUCACAGCUGUCUGUGUGCAAGUUUAUAUGUAAAUAUAGGGACUUCCAGGUAUCAAUAGGAAAAUCAUUUUUUUCUUAGUUUUAAUAAAAAUCCAAAAACAGGCCUCACUUUAAGACUUAAAAAAAUUGGCAAAUUUUAAUUUAGAAGUUAAAAAUUAGAAUUCUGCCAACCAUGCCAGGUUAAAAAAUAAGAUGUAAAAACCUAUUCGAGAAACAUCUUGGAAAUAAUUUGAUUUUGAACUCAGUAUCAGGGUCCAGAGUUUGAAGGUGAAUGCUUCAUUCGUGAGAUGUGGUGAGGUGGCGCAACAGCUGCUCUCUGCCGUUCCUCCUUUCCCCUCUGAGUCCUGGCAGAGCAGAACGUGCCGGCCUGGACAGCCACAGAGCAGAUAUGCGCACACACACCCGUACACCCCCCACCCCCACCCCACCCCCGUCCCGUCCCCGUAGAGCAGGCGUGCUGGCCCAACAGCCACUCCUCAUUUUCUCUCUGCAUCUUACUGUAUUUUCUUUGCCUGACUCCUUUAUCACUAGCAAUAGGAGGGAAGCGGCAGAGCUCUGAGCAGUUCAGAGGUACAGAAAUUGUCAGUCUUUUGAUAGUGACAGGUCUACUAUUUAGAGGACUUGGUUAAAAUGCUUGGCAAUCAGGGGCUUCUAGGAAACCCCAUUUCUAAACGUGGGUCUACAGUCCCACGGACACACGUUUUUUUGCAGGCAGUAUUAAGAGCACACAGCUUCUGAAGGAAGGGGGUUCUUUUCGCAGCUUUUGAGAACUCUCAGGAGGCCUGGCAGGGCGCGGUAAUGUGGUGGGAAUUCAUUUAUGUGCUUCCUGCCUCUGCUCUGGGUCUCUUGAGCGCUGGCAGGUUCUCAGCCAGCAGAGAAUCGCUGCCUUAGGGAGCUACUCUGGUCAUGUGAGCUGUGGCUUCUGGGACCUAGCCAGUCAUUUGUAGAAGGAAAGUGUUCCCAGCCAAAAGGGGCGGGUUGAUGCCUGUGCUCCCAGAUAGUGGGUGUCACAUCCUCUGAGAGCGCUCAUUUCAGUAGUGAGGCCACCGGCUAUAGCGAUGAGCGUUCUGAAUGCCAAAAACCAAAGGGGUUUUAAACCGGCGCGCAAACACAGCAGCCUGUAUUUUAAAAAUUCAGAAUUGUUCAGGCACACAAAAAACUCGAACUUUCUGAAUGGGGAAGAAUAUGAUUAAGUAAUUUAAAGAAUAUGCUUAGGUGUUUUGUAGUAAGCUGUUCUGUGUAUUAAUAGGAAGAUCCCAGGACAAUGUAUUCUGGAAUCUUGUUUAUGUGUUCUAGUUCAAACAAAUUAGAUUUGCCUCGGGAAAUAUUCAAGUGAUUAAAAUUCUCCUUAAAGUUUAGAUAAUGAAGCUCACUUUGUGUCGACUGUUUUAAGUAAAUCACUGUUGUUGUUUUGGACAGCACAUUUUGAGGUCUAAGGAAGGUAGCGUAUUAAUAGUGCAUUAUUCAUUUAAAAAACUGAACUUAACGAGUUUUGUGUAUGAAGCUAGAAACUUCCUUUUGUAUUGUGUGGACUCCUAGCCGUUUGCAGUCAGUGAGACCAAUGAUUACUACAGCACCACGCUCUCCUUCCAGGACACGUUGAAUUCCGUGAAUGGAAGGUCUUAUAAUUAGUUUUGCAUGGUACAGUGGUUUUACUAAAACUGUACUUGUGUAAUAUGUGCUAGGUGACUUAAAAAUCAAACACUAGAAAACCGUAAAGAAAAGCAGCUCGCUAUACACAGAAUAUGCAUCGCUGAAUGUAGAAGCCAUACAUCGCCAUUGUACCGCUGUAACACUUGAGAGCACUCACCUGGUGCUAUCUGUGAACGACUUGGCGUCAGCGUCUGCUAGGCGUCAGCGUCUGCUAGACGUCAAGACGUCAGCGUCUGCUAGACCCGCCUCCCGUUUCUUCCUGGAUAUAUAAUGUGUGCCUUUUACGUUCCUUCUGGUGUCGAAUGGUAAAAUCAAUGUGGUAUUUUUGUAUUAUAAUCUGCACUUUACACUUUCUUGGAAAGUAAAAUCCUAGACUAUCUGAAUAGUAUUUUAAAAAUAUUUAUAAUGUUUACAAUAAAUAUUUUACAUAUUUUACUUCAACAUCUAAAAAGAGAAAAAAAGUAUUUUGUAUGGUUUGUUAAUUGUUAUUUAAUGUUGCGCUCCUGAGUUUAUUUCGUGUCCUGUAGGAUGGCCAAGCACAAGAGUAGGUCGUAGUUUGUCGUGCUCUAAUUGGACGGGCUGGCCAGUUCCAGCGGACUGGCCUUUAGUGUGCUCCGGUCGAGGGUCGGGAGUCAGCUCUCACCUCCAGCCAGCCCGUUAACACUCUCUUCUCACUGUAUUUUCUCGUUUUAAAGUAGAUUGGUUAGGGUUAACUGAUUUCUGUCAUGGUUCAAUUUCCCAGAUUUUAAUAAAUUGCUUUUUACAUAGACUGAAUAUUUAAAGUACUACAUAUUAAGAGUAUUAAAGCCUUUUUAUUAAAAUUCUUACGUUAUGAUUUUAGGUCUUUUAAAUAGAUUUUUACCUGGCCCCCUCAGUAUUUUUCUAAUUCUCUAGCUUUUGGUAUGACAUCUCUGUGCUUUAUAAUAAUCUCGCUUUGUAAGACUUUGAGAGCUUACUGUGCUGUUAACAAGAUCUGUAAUAAUGAGAUUGUUGUAAGAUGGGAUGCAGGUUAUCUCAGAGGAUCUAAUGAUUGAACCCUGUGAUGACAAGAAUCUUAUAAAACAGUAUCCUAUGCUCAAGCGAGAGUAAAAUUGUGCCAGGAGUCUACCAAUGCAGUGUUCGGCUGGAUGUGUCAUGAUGAGCAAGCCGUCCUGGAAAUUAGAUUUCUCCCUUCGAGGGAUUAAUUUAUACGUGUGCAUAUAGUUCCUUGGUGAGAAGAAUUGUUCCCCACUUGCCGUAUGUCCUCAGCUCUAAUUUACAUUUCUGUAAGAGUGCUGAGGGUCCACACGCUUAUUCCUCCGAAUGUGAAUACAUUCUUGGCUAUCCUUUCCAAUUGCCUAGCAGUCCCGCUCAUGAGUCACCUGACAGUGUGGAGCUCUGGUUUUUAGUCACGCUCUGGCCUUGUGAUUAGUGAAUUUACCAAGCAGCGGGUCAGAUGCGUUAGUUCUCAACCUCAGAGGGUAUGCGAGCUCCCUUUCACCAACAGCUGUUUCAGCAUAAAGCGCUUCGAGCUGAAAAUGGUGCAGGAAGCUCUUCGUAGCUGUUGCCCAGCUUGUCUCCUUGGUAACCUGCAUCCACCAGAAUCUUGACUAGUAUUUGGCUUUAGUCAUUUCCUUUAACUUUUAUUCAGCAAAGUAUUUUCUUAUAAAAUGUGCUGUGUACUUCAUCUCGCAACCUCUCUUCUUUCGUGUGCUAACGAAUGUUUCUUCACAUUGCUUUCAAACGCUUGCACCUUGCUCCUCUCUAACUCUGAGCUCCCCUGCGGCACAUCUGAGAUGCUUCUCUCAGGUGAUGAAACUUACCAGGACAUUUUUCGUGAUUUUUCUCAAAUGGCAUCCAAUAAUCCAGAGAAACUCAAUCGUUUCCAGCAAGAUUCUCAGAAGUUCUGAGCCUUUUAAAGAGGGGAAACUAUGAAAUUUGGUGAAUUACUAAUGUGUACAACCAAAAUCUUACACCUUUUUUUAACUGCUUUAAUUCUACUUGAUUUUGGUAGACAUUGAAUUGUUUGGAGAAAAAUGGUACCCAUUCAUUGGUAUUUUUGUAAAUGAAAACAGAUCUCUCAUAGUUGAGAAAGGGAGAAAUCCACUGUAAUUCCUCUUUUAUUUAAGAAGAAAAAGACUGUUUAACGGGUGUGCUUUUAUAUAAAGUUGUAUCCAGAUCUAAGCGAUCUCCUAAGUUCCGAGAUGCUUACACUGUUGGGCCCAUGCACCUUUGCCUUGGGUAGUGCCCUGCUUCUCCCCAGGAACACUCAGUUGCUAUGUCUGCAUCAAGUGGGAGCCAGUUUGCUUACCUGUGUUGAGGAUGUAUCUUUUCUACAGCUUCGCUGAUAAUUGUUGGUGGUUUAGAAAUAUGUAUGUGUGCUUCCUGGUAGCUUAGCUGUGGUACCCACGGUAUAUGAUGUCAUUGCUAGGACUAGUGAGGAUGCUCCUCCUUUGCUCAGAGAUGCCAUUGCACGUCAGGACUUUAGCAUUAUGGUGACUGUUCAGUAGACCACACUUUAGUCUUUAGACUUAUUUCAUCUUGUGGUGCAAAGGAGCUCAUUCUGUUUUCUUCUUUCAGUUACCGCAAGACUCCCAGCUCAGUUUUUAUUGUUGGGUUGAUUUCCUAAAACCUUGAAAGAUCAUCAGUGCAAUAAAACUGUAUUUCAGAAGUUGACUAUUGCAAAAUUGGGCUUUCAUCAAAACACGGUGAUUUCAAAGAUAAUGUAGGUCAUUUUAUAUUUGGAAUUUAUCCAUUUUAAGAUAUAUAUAUAUAUAUAUAUGUAUAUUUACUAUUACUCCUGGUGAAAGAAAAAUCUCCAUGUAAAAGAAGAAAAAGCUAAUUUUUUUCUGUUUAUACUAAAAUUUACCAGCAAUAAAUUCCUUUUAUUUUUUCUACAUUUAUCUUGUUUACUAUACAACAGCAUACAUUCUUUUAAAUUGUAUCCUGUAUAUAGCUUUAGAAUUAAGUAAAAUAUGUCAUUGACCUUUGAGUUCCAAAAUUACGAGUAUGUGAUACAGUUUGGUCAGAUUCCACCUCUGAUUGACACAUCUUGUCAAAGUAUGGAAUGAAUAAAUAAUUGCCUUGUGGUUCAUUUCCAGCACUGUUGAUGACAUUUAAUCUUUUAGAGAUUGUAUGUAAAUAGCAUUGAUAUUCAGCUUCACAAGAAACAUUUUUAAAUGUAUAUAUAUAUAUAUAUAAAAUUAUAGUCAAUUAAAUAAAAAAUUUAACAUUUCCCCCACAGUAUGUAAAACCUUACUUUGAUUAAAUAUGAAAUUUGAAUCUAAGCAGAAAUCAUACUUAAUAAAUUCUCAACAUAAAUUCUCAACACAGAUACGGUCCCCUGGCUCAGCCAAAUUGCAAGAAUGUAGUGCUUAUUUCGUAAGUCCCCACAUGUUAGAGAUAAAGAUCUGCUGUGAUUUCUAUCUGAGGAAGCACAGACUUCCACAGGAUGGAAGGAAUCUGGCCUUGUCGGUAUUUUGUUAAAGGCAAAAGUCUAAUUUUAAUUGGUGUGUGUUUUGAAAUUUAUUGUCCUAACACGUAUUCAAGGAAGAACAGGCUAAAGAGAGGACGAGAGGGAAGAAGCCCACCUCUUCUCAGUGCCUGUUCUCAGUCACCGUGGAGCUCCUGCCUCGUCUGUGGAGGUACAGAUAGGCUUCCCUUUUUGCUGCUGGGGACAGUCCUCUGGACCUGUCUGCCUCCCUCCCUGACUUGUGUCAGAAGUCCUUGGUGUGACAGUCAGUAGUGUCUGCUGCCCUUUAAUGGCUAGAGUGUUUUUGAAAUGAGCCUUAAAGAUUCAAGUGUGUGUGAAAUGCCUUAAAGAUCAUCGUGGUUCUGAGUAUCUUCAGAAAAAGCUUCAUCUUUUCUGAUCGCAUGGAGCCUGGCAAUGCAAGAACAUGUUUUUAUGGCUUACUUAAUUUUCUCAACGUGCUGAGAAAUUGAAUGAUAGAAAGGAAUGGAGUCUAGCAAGGCUUUAAAUUUAUAUCAUGAGUAGAUUGGCUCUUAGAUGAGUUUUGCUGUGUUCACCAAUAGCUUUAUGUGGUGUGUUGUGCAGUAUUCCAUACAGUAGGAGAGAUGAAUAUCCACAAUGCCAGUCACACACUCAGGCCCCUCUUUCUGAUUGCUCUGUGUUCUCUGCAGGACAGACAUGCUGAGAAGAAUUUUUUUUUUUUUUUUGGAUUUUCGAGACAGGGUUUCUCUGUAGCUUUGGUUCCUGUCCUGGAACUAGCUCUUGUAGACCAGGUUGGCCUCAAACUCACAGAGAUCCGCCUGCCUCUGCCUCCCUUAUGCUGGGAUUAAAGGCAUGUGCCACUACGAGUUUGAUUCUUUAUUAUUAGCCUGUUCAUUCUUUUUCAUGCUCUCAUUAAUGGAAAAAAUUGGAUUGCUGCCAAAAUAAGAACAGAGGCACAAUGAAGGAUGCACGAAAUGUGGCUUUAACACGGGCACAGAUAAAGGUGAUCGAGUAGCCAUUCCCCAGGCUUCACUGCGACACUUACUCGUUUAACAUUUCCAAGAUUUCAAGUUCAUCUUCAGUACAGUCGUUGGCAAUGAAAAGCUUCCAGCAUUACAGGGUGCCUGACUGACUGAUGCCGGUGUCUGCCUUGGUGCCGCGAACUUUGGUGUUUGCUUCCCCCAAAGUAAUCCAGAGGGCAGCUUGUGUUUUAGCACCUCACAGGUGCAUUCUGGGGGAAAAUUAAUGCUUACAUUUUAGAGAAUUUAUGUUUGUGAUCAUGUUAGCAGUGUUUAAAAGUACAUUUUUCUGCAUAUUAGAUAUGAUCACGAACCAAGUUGUUUUAUUUAAACCUAAACUUGCUACCCACUCUGAAUAAUUGGACAUUCCUAGACCACUCAUUCUCAGGUCAACUUUCUGUGUUGCUGCAUAUUUUUUUUUUUAAUGAAAUCUUACAUCCAUAAUAGCUUUAGUUCACAUCCUUCUUGGAUCCAGGGCUCCUCACAAAUAAAGCGAAUGGCUGAAAUAAAGGAAACCUCUAAAGCCUCCCUUUGUGUACCUGUCCCUGGAGGCUUGCAGGAGGACACCUGCAGUCUUAGCCCAUGAGCAGCAGCCUGGCCCCCAGGCUUCAUCCCAGCCCCGUCUUGUUUUACAGAGCUGACCCAUGGUCCGGCUCUGACAUAAGCUCUGAGAGCAUGUGUGUCCUGAGAGGACUGGCAUCCCUGUCAAGUAGCAGCUUUCCCUGAGUGUGAUAAGAGGCUCCAGAAACACGGGAGAACCUCACUGUCACGUUUAGAGGACUAGAUUGGAAUUUGAAAGCAUCAAAUUGUAAAAAAGUCUGCAUUUUAUACAAUAGCAAACAUUAAUAAAAAGCCAAAUAUUAUAAAGUUAAACUCACCUUUUAUUAACUUUUUGAUGUCAUAACCAUAGAAAGGACUUGGAUUCAGUCUGGCUGAGUCCUGUUUUGUAGGCAUCUUUUUCUGUUUACAUAGAUGGGGAUCAUGUGGACAAAGGAAGAUUUAAUUAACUAGAAUUUUUCUUUGCAUUGGUCUUCUCACUAUCUUAUUUUCUAGGAUUUUCUCAUUCCCCAGCCCUAUUUUGGUUAUUAAUUUUUAACAGGGAAAGCUUGCUGUGCUAUCAAGUUGUUAGCACCUUUUCAUACGAAAGGCUAAAGGGUAACUUUUGGAAGCUCCUUUUUAAAAAUAUCUGUUUACGUGCUUUGUGAUAUUUCUGGAUCAUUCCGGUCAUAAAGACUGAUCACAUUUACUAUUUCUUGCUACCUGUGAAAAGGAUUUUAAGAAUGUAUAACCAACACUCCAUUAGUUUUUAUUAGUGUGUAGAUUUGUAUCUAAUUCAUGAAUGUAGUUUUUCUGUAGUUUGUCAUUGUAAAUGGAGCAAAGUACAUUAUCUUUAUAGUUAUUCUAAAAUGUACAUUAUGUAAGAAUUGUAAAUAUACUUGAUUACUUUGUAUGCUGAAAAUUUACAAUAAUAAGUCAAUAAAAAUAUCUCACUUC